CCGGCCAUUCCCUGGGUCCCAGUUGUGGGUCCCCAGGUGUGGGUCCUGGCUGCAGAUCCCAGUUGCAGGUCCCAGCUAUGGAUCCCAGCUAAGGGUCCCAGCUGUGGGUCCCAGUGUGGGUCCUGGGUGUGGGUCCCAGCUAUGGAUCCCAGCUGUGGGUCCCAGUUGUGGGUCUCGGCUGCGGGUCCUGGUUGUAGGUCCCGGCUGUGGGUCCUGGCUAUGGAUCCCAGCUAUGGGUCCCGGUGUGAGUCCCGGCUAUGGGUCCCAGCUAUGGGUCCUGGUGUGGGUCCUGGCUAUCGAUCCCAGCUAUGGAUCCUAGCUAUGGGUCCCAGCUAUGGGUCCUGGUGUGGGUCCCAGCUGUGGGUCCCGGGUGUGGGUCCCGGGUGUGGGUCCCAGCUGUGGAUCCCGGCUAUGGGUCCCGGCUAUGGGUCCCAGGGUGAGUCCUGGCUAUGGGUCCCAGCUAUGGGUCCUGGUGUGGGUCCUGGCUAUUGAUCCCAGCUGUGGGUCCCACCUAUGGAUCCCAGCUGUAGGUCCCAGCUAUGGGUCCCAGUGUGGGUCCCGGCUAUGGAUCCCAGCUAUGGGUCCCAGCUGUGGGUCCCGGCUAUGGGUCCCGGCUAUGGGUCCCGGUGUGGGUCCCGGUGUGGGUCCUGACUAUGGAUCCCAGCUAUGGUUCCCGGCUAUGGAUCCCAGCUGUAGGUCCCAGCUAUGGGUCCCAGCUGUGGGUCCUGGCUAUGGAUCCCAGCUAUGGGUCCCAGCUGUGGGCCCCGGCUAUGGGUCCCGGCUAUGGGUCCCGGCUAUGGGUCCCAGCUAUGGGUCCCAGCUAUGGAUCCCAGCUAUGGGUCCCAGCUAUGGGUCCCGGCUGUGGGCCCCGGCUAUGGGUCCCGGCUAUGGGCCCCGGCUAUGGGUCCCGGCUAUGGGUCCCGGUGUGGGUCCUGGCUAUGGAUCCCAGCUAUAGGUCCCAGCUGUGGGUCCCGGCUAUGGGUCCCGGCUAUGGGUCCCGGCUGUGGGUCCCGGCUAUGGGUCCCGGCUGUGGGUCCCGGUGUGGGUCCCGGUGUGGGUCCCGACUAUGGAUCCCAGCUAUGGUUCCCGGCUAUGGAUCUCAGCUAUGGUUCCCGGCUAUGGGUCCCGGCUAUGGGUCCCGGCUAUGGUUCCCGGCUAUGGGUCCCGGCUAUGGGUCCCGGCUGUGGGUCCCGGCUGUGGGUCCCGGCUGUGGGUCGCGGUGUGGGUCCGGCACGCACCGGCGGUUGGCAGCUGCCCGUUGUCGGCCAUGUCCCAGCGCUCCUCCUUGCGCCGCGCGCCGCUGACGAUGACGUAGUCGCAGCCGGCGGGGUCGGUCUGCAGCUCGAUGUGGUUGACGCACAGGUGGCACUUCAUG
rnacentral:lncRNA from 1 species